UUCCAGUAAACUAACUAUGUUACGACUUACCUCCUCUUUAGAGGAGGGCGACGGGCGAUAUGUACACCUAAAUUCAAUUUCGUUAUCAAUUUUUGUUAAAGAACUACUUCCAAAUCCUCUUUCAAUUCUUCUUUAGAAUGAGAUCCUUUAAUUGGUUUAAUGUGUAAUUAGCUUUGUCUUCGUCAUGGUCUUCACCUUGACCUGACUUAUGAAAAAAUGUUUGGGCAUAAAAUAAAAAUUCUGCCUUUAGACGGCGGUAUAAAAGAAAAAAACGAAGAGAAAAUAAGCGGGAAAAAUCGAAAAAACAAAUUCCUCUGGUAAGAUAAAAGGCCGCCAAAAAG
rnacentral:rRNA from 1 species